CCUACGGGAGGCUGCAGUGAGGAAUAUUGGUCAAUGGACGAGAGUCUGAACCAGCCAAGUAGCGUGAAGGAUGACUGCCCUAUGGGUUGUAAACUUCUUUUAUAAAGGAAUAAAACGAGGCACGUGUGCCUUUUUGCAUGUACUUUAUGAAUAAGGAUCGGCUAACUCCGUGCCAGCAGCCGCGGUAAUACGGAGGAUCCGAGCGUUAUCCGGAUUUAUUUGGUUUAAAGGGAGCGUAGAUGGUUUGUUAAGUCAGUUGUGAAAGUUUGCGGCUCAACCGUAAAAUUGCAAUUGAUACUGGCAGUCUUGAGUACAGUUGAGGUAGGCGGAAUUCGUGGUGUAGCGGUGAAAUGCUUAGAUAUCACGAAGAACCCCGAUUGCGAAGGCAGCUUACUAAACUGUGACUGACAUUGAUGCUCGAAAGUGUGGGUAUCAAACAGGAUUAGAUACCCCAGUAGUC
rnacentral:rRNA from 1 species